AAACCUCGACUGUAACGAUCUGGGAGAGCUUUCCCAAAGGAAUUAGUUUUCUCACCCCACUAAUUAGAAAUCAGUCCCGAUAUAUACACACCUUGUACAGUAAACCACUCCAUCUCCACCUUGUACACAUAAGCUUCUAUUGAUCAUUUUCCAUGUCAUCUUACAGUUGGAUGAGAGAGGUAAAACCAAGUUGGAUGUGAGAGACGGGAAUAUUGAAAGGGGCAAACGAAAUUUUGGGUUCAAAAUAAGCCAGCAGCUUCUCUCAUCUUCACCUCUAGGGUUUUGUUACUCAGCCACCUUCUCCCCCACCAUCUUCCUCAGCCACCGUCGUCCCCCCCCCCCGCUCCCGCGCUGGUCGCUCUUCCACGUUGCCGCUGGGAUCGCUCUUCCAUGUUGCCGCUGGGAUAACCCACCGCCGGUCCUCCCUCGUCCCCACCGCCUCUCUCCCCCUCUCUCUCUCCCUGGUUCAAAACCACCCUUCUCCCCCUUGAUAAACAAGCUGUGAACCAAAUCUUUGGUUUUUCUGCAACGGGGAUCCUCAUAGUCAAAGGAAGAUGGCGAUACUUACUUUUCUUUGCCAUUUUUACGUUGGUGAAAUGUUGCAAUGCACCAAGGAUAAAAUAUUGAAAGCAUUUCAAGACAAUCGUAUACUUGAGAAGUUGGCUGCCACAAGUGAAGAGCUACAGAAUGAUGUUGUGAUGGAAGCAAUGCAAAAGGCACCAAGCGGGUCUCCCCAUUGGCACAAGCUGAAUUUUUAUGCGGAGAGAGACAUGUAAACAUCAGGUCAUACUUGCACACAAGGAGAUCAAGGAAAUGAUAUCUUUUAUUCAAGAUGAUUUGAUGAUGAUUAAGCAAGUCCUUCAACCAACUAUGCAGUCAAGCCCACAAACUAUUAAUUACACGUGUGAGGAUGAAGCAAACACAUGGUGUGAUGAUAAUCGUAGUUCGGCCAAAGAUCAUGAUCAUGAUGAAUGCCACAUUGAGGAACAAAAUCUGCAAGUAAAAUCCAACAUAUACACGCGUCUUAAGGAUGAACCAAGAAAGUGCAAUAACUAGAUUACCUUGGACUAUAUAUCAGAGAUUCAGAGGAGAUGCAACAAGGGCGAGGAGGUUAAAGCUGGAAACUUGUGACAGUUUUUGUUGUGUUCUUUUUUGAAGAGAAUGGGUCAUGUGCUAAAUAGAAAUUUUUGUUAACUAAUGGGGUAGCUUUGAUGCACUAUGUAGAUGCACCAUCUAUGGUGGUUUUGUUAUGUUAAUUGAAUGUAGGAAUCCUAUUCUUGUGUUUAUGCUAUAAUGCAUUUUUAAAAUGGACUUGAACUUAUAUAA